CCCAUAUAAACUACAUGGUGUGCCCUAAGCAUGUUUUGACUCUCACAAAUAGUAAAACUAGAACAUUCGACUUGGGAGGGGCAAAUUAUUCUUUCUUAAGAAAGAAAAGAAGAAAAUUGAAAGACAGCUGCUCACUGCAAAAAUUUCUUAACUAUCAGUCUCAUGAAUUUUUGUAGAAAUUUAUUUUCUCUUCUUUGCAAAUAAUUUCUCCGUUUCAAACUCCACAUUUGUUACAAAUUAGUGCAACUUAUUACAACGUAUGUAAUGUUGAAUGAGUCAAUUAUUUUUUUAAUAAGUUAGAAGUCUUAUAGUGGAAUUGGUCUCUUGUUUGGUGAAUAAGUUUAGGAACACGUUGGUUUUUCAGUUUGAUUAGUUGAGAAACUUAAGGAGAAUUCUCACUAUAUAUUGCACUUGUUAGUUGCCAAUUCAUUACUGCAGCACUUCAAUUUUCAUUGUUUCGGGUUUUAGUUCUCAUCAAGAAAUAAAACACAGAUUGAAGAAUAGAAUCUGUUCUUUCCAUCUCCUUUGUCUCUUUGCUAUUUCUCCUGUUUCUUUAAUUUGUUUUUAUUUUGCCAUAAUUUGUUACAUGGUAUCAGAGUUUGGUUGCCUAUCAAGUGUUUGAUUUUAUUACUCAGAGAAGAUGAAUGGUUGAAGCAGUGCCUCUGUAGACAAAUUUGUUGGUAACAAUUAUAGUUACUGGAAGCUAUGCAUCGAAGCUUAUCUACAAGGGCAGGAUUUGUGGGAACUUAUUUAUGGUGAUGAUGUAAUUCCAGAAGAUAUGCUACAAAAUAUUGACUUGAGGAGGAAAUGGAAGAUUAAGUGUGGCAAAGCCUUAUUUUCAUUGUGAACAUCGAUCAAUAAAGAGUACAUCGAGCAUGUUCGUGAUAAGUAGUCGUUAAAGAAAGUGUGGGAGACACUUAAUAGGCUGUUCAUUCAAAAAAACAAGAAUGAACUUGCCGAGAUGAUUUGAGGUAACCUUUCAGUUUCAAAAUAUUUUUUGAAACUUAAAACCUUGUGUUCUUAUAUAUAAGAAUUAGAUACGGAGAAACUUGUGAGUGAUGCUCGUUUGUGCCAUUAUCUAUUUCGUGGAUUGCGAGAAGAAUUUAUGCCCUUUAUCUCUUCAAUAGAAGGGUGGCCAAAUCAACCUACUAUCAUUGAGUUGGAGAACCUGCUCUCAAAUUAAGAAGCAUUGCUGAAACAAAUGUCCAACAAUAGCAACAAAUCUCUCCUGAAGUUGAUGAUAUUCUUUACACCAAGGACCAAGGAAAAAAGAACUUUUCGUCUAAGCAGUAUUUCGAUGAUGGCAAGUAGUCCAAAACUAGGGGACAAUCCAAUGGAAAUCCAAAAACUUGUUAUAGAUGUGGAAAGCUGGGACACAUAAAGCUUGAUUGUCUGGUGAAUGUGGUGUGUAGUCAAUGUGGAAAAUCAGGCCAUUUAAAGAAAAUUGUAGUGUUUAUUGACAAAAUCAUGAGUGAAUGUUGUACAUGAACCUAGUAAAUCUAAAUAGCACAAAUGGGAACAAUGCUUAUCCAUUGAAGCUAUUGAUCAACCAGCUAACAUGAUUUCUGAAGUGCACUAGACUGAUAUAGAUGUUGAUGCUAAUGUUUCCAUAGACUACAACAAGGAUUGGAUAAUUGAUUCUGGCUGCUCUCAUCAUGCAACUAGAAAAUGCUUCGUUACUUUUUGAUGUUCAUCCACAUUGUGAAAAAAAGAAUCAUCGUAAUGUCGAUAUUUCACUACAUCUUGUAGUUAAAGAAGGGCAUCUCAGUUUUAGAACUAAUAUUUCAAAUGUUGAUGGUAUUUCUCUCAAAAAUGUAUGUCAUGUUCCAGGUUUUAAGAAGAAUCUCGCCUCAAUCUCUCAAUUAGUUGAUUCUGCGAGGUAUGUUCUUUUUGGUCCAAAUAAUGUACAGAUUCUUUCAAAAUGCAACUGCGACAAUUUGGCAUGCUCGGUUAAGCUAUGUUGGUUAUUAGUUACUGUAGAAAAUAUCCACAAAGAAACUUUUAGAUGGAGUUCCUCUAUUUAAAGAUUUUCAUCCUGAUGUGGUAUGUG
rnacentral:lncRNA from 1 species